GAAGAGGCCAUGGCUGGCCCAGAAUUCCCAGCAGGAUUUGUUCCUCUUAGAUCAGUGAAAAGAAAAAUGGAAAUAUAAAAAUAAUAAUAACUGAGCCCCAGGAAGGUGCUUGGAGACGGGGGGUGGCAGGACCAGGGGCAUCUCCUGCGGCUGGCUCCAGUUGGCUGGGCGAGCGGCAGGUAACUAACAGGCUCUCUAGGGACCAGCAGGCCAGGCAAGAAGGCACAGGGAGCUGGAGGGGCAGGCUGUCAGAGGAGGGUACGUCUGUUCUGCUGUGUUCGUUGUCCCCCCUCCCUCCCCACCCCACCCCCCAGCCUGGGCAGGGAGACUUGGGUCCCCUUUCCCUGCCUCCCAGGCAGGUGGUCCCUUGGGGAAGGCUUAUUAUUGGUCUGGGAGUCAGGGUGGAGCCUCAUGAGGCCCCUGAUGCCAGGGGCAGACAAGGCAGGUCAGCAUGGGCCUCAUGAAGGGUCUGAAGAGACUAGCUGGGCUUCGAGGACCCGGAACCCAGGCCUGGCACUGAAUUUCUGCAUGUGGCCUGCAUGGGUGUGUGUGUGUGUGUGUGUGUGUGUGUGUGUGUGUGUGUGUGUGUGUGUUGGUUCGAAAUCACCCCUGCUCUGCCUAGACAGCAGUAUCGCUAAGAGGAUAGGGAGACUGCCCCAGGAUGCCCACUCCCUAGGGAAGAGGUAAACCCAUGCAGAGAAGCAGUGAGCCAGCUGCCAACUCUGAGGGUCACCUGCCUCCCAACUUCAGGAGUGGGUAGAGUGGGGGACCCUGCUGCCCACUAAGAAGAUUGAGCCAAGACUCUCAGCUCCCUGGGGAGGGAUAACCAGGAUGGGGUAGGAGGUGCUAACUGGCCUGGAUGGCUGAGGGCACUGUCGCAGGGUAGGGGGCACAGAUCCAGUCAACCACCUGGUGGGCCACUGACCUGGAAAAACCACACUUAGAUUGGGGACACUAGCCCAAGAUGGGGGAGAACCCAAGGGGGUAAGGAAGGCAGGGUGGGGAAGACCGACCUACGCUGGGGAAAGGCACUGACCCAUACUCCCCUUAAGGGAAGGUGGGCACUGAUUUGGGCUGGGGGGGGGGGUCCCUGCCUCCAUCAGGGGAGGGGACAAUGAUCCAGACUCCCCGGGUUUGGGGGAGAGCACUGAUUGGGGCUGGGGGGGGGGGUCCCUGACUCGCGCAGGGUGGGACACUGCUCCAGCCUCCCCCUCCGGGAAUCCCGCCCCGGCGCACCCCUCGGCCCGGCCCCAUGCUUCGGGUCCGGCCGGAGGCGGCAGCGGCGCAGAUGGGCUGCUGGCGGCCGCAGCGGCAGCGGCGCGGUUAUCAGCGCUCCUCGCAGAUGGGCCGCCCGCCCUCCGCGCUCACGGCUCCCCACUCCCCGCGGCCUGCAGCCCCGUCCCCUGGGCGCGGGGGGGAGGCGCCUCCGGAUCCGCUCCCCGGCUCCCGCCUCCCUCCCUCGCGGCCCCCUCACCCCGCGGGCCGGGCCCGGGCGGCCGCCGGAGGGGGAGGGGGAGGGGACAAGUGCACUUUUCGUAACGACCGAAUCAAUUGUGUGUGAAGAGCCCGCUCCGGCCGGGGACGGGGCUGAGCGCGGGGCGGGCGGGCCGGACGGGGGAGGAGCACAGAGGGGGGAGCGGGGGAGCGAGGGAGGGAGGGAGGCCGGCGCGGGGCGGCCCCGCUCGCUCGCUCGCUCGGGCCGGGCGAGGCCGGGGAGGGAGCGAGGGGGGCAGGGAGGGAGGCCGGCCGGGCCGGGCCGGGCCGGGGGCUGAACGCACUAAUGGAGGGUCUCCACGACGGAAAGUUCAAAGCUCAGCAGCGCCCCGGGAGCAGCCGCCCCCCCCCCAGCCCCCACCCGUUGCAGAACAAUGAGGUCCCGGCGGGGGAGCCGCGGGGCCCGCGCCGCACGCCCUCUCCAGGGCGCCCCGGGCCGGAGGGGACGCCCCCGCCCGGCCGCCCGCCUCCUCCCUCCCGGCGGCUGCGGUUCCCCGCCCCCUCCCCCACGCCACCCCGCCCGGACCCGGCCGGCCCCGGGGACGGGGGAGGGGAGGGGAUGGAUAGGUCAGGCCGCCCCCGUCCCAGGGAGGGGGGGAGCUAGGGGCCCGGGGGGCGGAGGGGGCGCCCCACCCACCCGCGCGAGGCUGCUCCUGCGCCAGGCUGCGGCUCGGGCCGCCCCUCCCCGGGCCAACCCCGGGUGGGGUCUGGGAGACAGUGCCCUGGAGGGCCCCCCCCACCCUGGCGCUGGGGAGCCGAGUGGACUCCCCGUCCCGUGGCUGCCCCUGCCCCCCCUCCCGCAGCACCACCCUCCACACACACACACACACACACACACACACACACACACACACACACACACAUACACACCGCCCAGCCGGCCCGGGGGCGGGAGCGCGAGGCGCCCGGGACAGGCAGCCCCGGGGCGGGCGGGGGGUUGGGGGGAGGCUCGGGCUUCGGAGCAGCCGCCUGCUGGCGGGGGGAGGGGACGGGAGGACGGAACAUGCUGGGGUGAGCAGCCCGGGACAGCCCGCUCGGCAGGGCCACGGCCCGGGCAGCGGCGCAGAGGGGGGCAGGGACGCCCCGAACCCGGAGCGCUGCCUGGGCGGGCCGGGGCAGGCGGGUGAGCAGAGACGCGUGCGCCCCGGGCGGGCCAGACCCACGGACAACCUCAGGGACACACGUUCGGACACACAUCCACACCCCCACACCCCGCCCCCGCCCGCCCCAAGCCCCGCGGCGGGACCGGCCCGCGGCCGCCGCGCGCGCACUCACCGAGCCCGUCUUGACCGGCACAUACACCACUUGGCCCAUCUUGGGUUCCCGGCCGCUGCCCAGGCGGAAGCCCUUGGAGCGCACCCAGAACUGGAACUUGCCUUUCUCGCCGGCCGCCGGGCCGCUGCCCGCGCCGGUCCCGCCGCCGCCCUGCAGGACCUCGGCGAUCCGCUGGUAUUUGCUGCGUGUCACCGUCUUGGUUUUGGCCGAGUCGCCGUAGGUGCGCAGGCACCAGUCCCGGAACUGGCGGCCCAGCUCCGAGUCCCCGGGGCUGCGCUCGCGCUCCCAGCCCCCGCGCAGCAGCAGCGUCGGCUUCGGCAUCCUCCCGCCGCGCCCGGCGCCCUCGGGGGCGGGCCGGCCGCCGGGCCGCCCGGUGCCGGGACUGGGCUGGGCUGGGCCGGGCCGGGCCGGGGCGCGCCGCGGCCCGGGCUGUCCCGCGGUGUGGCUCCGGCGCGGCUGCUUGACGGGCACGGGCGGCGGCCGGACGCGCGGGGCUGCGGCGCGCUCUGUCCUGCUCGGGCGGCGGCAGCGGCGGCGUUGGCGGCGGCGGCUCCGGCUCGCCUCCUGCUCCGCCUCCUCCUCCCCCCCGGCCGGGAUGCGGGAGCGAUGGAGGCAGCUCCGGGCCCGGAGGUGCAGAGGGGGCGGGCCGCCCCGCGGGCGGCCGGGGGAGGCGGGAGGCGGGGAGCGGCUCCGGGCGCGGGGAGCGAGACCGAGCCUGGGCGCGGGCGGCGGCGGCGGCUGUCAGCUCGCGCGGCUCAUCCUGCUCCUGCUCAGGCUCCCGCUGCCGCUGCUCUUCCUCCUCCUCCUCCUCCCGCGCCCGCCUCCACCACGCCGCGGGAUCCCACCUGUUAGAGCGUCGCAGCCUUCGCCGCCGUCCCCCCCCCUCCCUCCCGCGCCCGCCCGCGGGGCCCAGACCCCGCCCCGGCCCGGCCCCUGGGGGCGCCGGGGCCGCCGCGCCCGUAGCCGCGGAGAGGGCAGGAGCCGCAGGCGCGCAGUGCCCAGCCCAGGGACCGAGUUCCUCUGUCCGGGCCUGGCCGGGAGCCUCGCAGGCCGCGCUCCGCCCGGACCCGGUGGUCUCGCAGGGAGUAGGGCGCAGACCCCGCCUGGCCACACGCGUCCCUGCCUCCCCGGGCGGCCCCGCCCGAUUUUAGUCCAGCGCGGGCGGUACCGGGCAGGCGCCUUUCCCUCCCUCCCGCAACUGGCCUGAUUUCUCCGGUGCGAGCCCGGCGCCAGAAGAGCAGUGUUCCCCCUGGGGAACCCCGAACCGCCGCCCUUUGGGGCCCCCAAACUUCCUUCCCUCUCCCCUCACCCUGAAUUCCCCCGAAGUUUAGCCGGCCUUACUUCUGGCAGUCCCACUGCUCUGGGACAGCCCCAGGCCCCAGGAAAAUCGUCAACAUUGGCCCGUGGCCUCACUCAGGCCAGCUCCACCAAGGCUUCAGGCCACGCUCAGCACACCCACAAAUUCGUUCCCAAGACACCCUGCUUUCAUGCGUGCACCUAGAAGCUCUUGCUGAGUAAACUGAGGUAGUCCCCUAUCCUCUUCCUCCCUGGGCGGGACUGACCUUGGGGUAGAGCUGACCCUCUCCCCCUUAAUGAAACCACUAACACAAAUAAAGGCCCAGGCCAAUUCCCCAGUAUUUCUGCCCUCCUUUCCUAACAGGUUGUGAGGAAUUACUUGGUUUCUCUCCUUAGUGUUCCUUGGCGGCCACCCCCGUAUUUCCAGGCCACUCCUGUAAGUCACCAACUCAAACCUGAGGCCCAGACUGUGACCUGUGCAGGGCCAUUUUCUUCUUCUAAUAGAAACCAGUGGCUACCCCCAGCCAAGGUCCCACACCCUGGAACCUACAGUGUGCCAUGUACUGGCAUCUCAGAGGCAGAGAGGAUUGGCCCAUUUUACAGAUGAAGGCCUAGGGCCUGGAGAGGUAGCCUGACCUGUUCAAGGUCAUGCAGGGAGGAGGGGAAGGUUGCAGCCCAGGGCUGUCUGUCUCCUGCUACCACACCCCACAUGAAGUCUCCCCCCGCCAUCCCACUGGGAGGAACCCCCCCGCAAUGUAUGUGCCUACCCCACUUCUCCCAGUAGACCAGGGAGCUAAAGUCCAGCACAGGACCCAUGUCUGACUCAUCCUUUUAUGCCCAGGCCCUAGCACAGUACCAGGUACACAGUUGGUGCCAAUAAAUGCUGAAAGAACCGAAGAGGUCUCCCAAGUCCCAACCUCGCACUGCAUUUCACAUAGAAGAUUUAUUUUUAGAUAAUUUACAUUUCCAUGUUACUUUAUAUACACCAACAACUCCACAGUCAUUUUUCUUCUUCAUCUCCCCAAAAGCUCUUUUUGGUUCCAUGCUGGCGUGUCCAUUUUUCAGAGAUUACUACUGGGGCUCAGAGAGGGGAAGGCACCACCCAAAGGCCACCCAGCCCCAGAGGUAUGCUUCUGCAUGACUUGGAAGCCCCACGCCCUGACUUUUCCAAUAUACCCGUGGACACUUAUCCUCACAGCUGACUUCCUUCCGGAGAGGAAAAGUGCCCUCACUUAGCAUUGUGAAUGACCACCCUCAGCAAGGGUGCCUUGGUGCCUAGGUGGUGGGGCCCCCCAUUGGAGUCCAGGUCUCUCUCUUCAGUUCCAAGACCCAGUUGAGUAACCACUAAGCCAGACCACCUGUCCAUGACAUCUGGGUCUUUGCCCACCUUUCAGAACCUAGAAACCUGCUUACCAAUCUUGGGCUGGGUUCUAUUGUGGCAGAAAAUGUAGCACAGUGGAAAGAACACGGGCUUCGGGUAGAGUCAAACAGACUUGGGAUGGGAUCCUGACUGCUCUUUUCCAGGGCAUUCUUCAUGUCCACGGGUCCCAGGUGGCUGCUUCCCAACUGAAUAAGCCCAUCAGUCCACCCUUCACUGAACCCCAACUUCAUCAACUUCAUCACCUAUUUAAUGGCGUGGGUGUCGUGGAUGUAAUCAUAUACAUGAGAGCGCCUGGUAUAUAACAGGUGCCCAAUAAAUGCCAUUUUCUCCUUCAUACGGUUGCAAAGUAUUCAAGGAGGAAAAUGGGGAUUGUUGAUACUUUUUGUGUUUCAUUCAUUCAACAAACAUCUCUUGAGCAGUCAUUAUGCACCAGGUGCUGGGGAUCUAGCCAGGGGAUUCUGAAGGUCCUUGCCCUUGUGGAGCACACUAAUGGGUGGGGAAGAUGGCCACUGAACAGAUCAGCCAUCAAUAAUGACAGCUUUGGGGGGCGCCUGGGUGGCGCAGUCGGUUAAGCGUCCGACUUCAGCCAGGUCACGAUCUCACGGUCUGUGAGUUCGAGCCCCGCGUCAGGCUCUGGGCUGAUGGCUCGGAGCCUGGAGCCUGUUUCCGAUUCUGUGUCUCCCUCUCUCUCUGCCCCUCCCCCGUUCAUGCUCUGUCUCUGUCUGUCCCAAAAAUAAAAAAAAAAACAAAAACAAAAAACAAAAAACGUUGGAAAAAAAAAAUAAUAAUGACAGCUUUGGGGGGUGCACCUGCCUGGCCCAGUCAGUAGAGCAUUCAACUCUUGAUCUCCGGGUUGUGAGUUUGAGCCCCACUUUGGGAAUAGAGAUUCCUUUUAAAAAAUCAAAGAAGAAAAUCUUUAAAAAAAUAAUUACAGCUUGAGGAAAGGGCCUUGAAUGAAAUAGGGAGCUGUGAUAACAAAUGGACACAAGGGACGGCUUUCCUUAGGGGAUCAGGGAAGGCCCCUCUGAGGUGGUAUAUUUGAACAGUGACUUAAAUGACAAGGAACCAUCUAGGCUGUGUUCUGAGGGAAGAGCAUUCCAGGCAGAGGGAAUAGCAUGUGCAAAGGCCUUGAGGUGGGAAAGAUACUGGCAUUUUCUAGAAGCUGAAAGAAGGCCAGGGUGGCUAGAGUGAAGUGAAUGAGGAGGCAGGAGACCCUAGACUCUGGAUUGCAUUCUAAACGUGAUGCAAAGCCACUGGUGAGUUGUAAAGAAGGGAGAGACUGAGGAGCAGAGGUGGAGUGAGGAGUGGAGGGCAGCCCAACGGUCUGUGAUCAAGGUGCCUGGAGGUCAGAGGCCUUGCCCUCUCCUCCCGUGUGUCAGCUUACUCUAUACUAGGCACAUCUCAGCCUCAUGCCCCAAAAAAGUACCGGUAAAAAAGUAGAGGUGGCCGAGCAGAAGAAUGAGUCCAAAGCAAAGCCCCUUCUGCUGAAACGGAUCCCUGGACUUCUAGCCUGUUCAUGUCAGUGGCAUCCUUUAUCAGAGGUCCUGCCCCAGAGCAUGCUGGGGGUGGCGGGGGGGGGAGGUAAGCUUCUCACAAUGUCCAUCUCAGGGAGGGGGACGGUCAUGGUCCUAGGGGACAACUGCUCCUCUUUUCUUCACAUUCCAGCCACCUGCCAAAAGGACAAAGUAGGCUGUCCCAUUAAUCAUAGGUCAGUAGAUCCCCUGGAGUUUUUCUUUAAUGCUGACAGUACUAUCCUGGAUCACAAGAGGCCACCGAUGAAGGGUCUGUAGAGAGUAUAUAAUACAAACUCUGCCUUUUACAGAUGGGUAAACUGAGUCCCACAGAGGGGAAGAGGCUCAGGGCCACAGGCAUAGCCUUUACCUGAUUUGGCCAGAUCACCUGUAUUUCACUGAGCUCUGACUCUGGGCCUGGGAAUGGUGGGGGGAGGGAGAAGGGGAGAGUGCGGCGGGGGGGGGGGGGGNUACACGACGCUCUUCCGAUCUCACCACCGAUGAAGGGUCUGUAGAGAGUAUAUAAUACAAACUCUGCCUUUUACAGAUGGGUAAACUGAGUCCCACAGAGGGGAAGAGGCUCAGGGCCACAGGCAUAGCCUUUACCUGAUUUGGCCAGAUCACCUGUAUUUCACUGAGCUCUGACUCUGGGCCUGGGAAUGGUGGGGGGAGGGAGAAGGGGAGAGUGCGGCGGGUGGAGGGGGGAAGGUGAUGGGGUGGGAAUGCCUACCACUCAGAGGUGAGGUGGUCCCUUGCUUCCCCCUGGCCCCCCCGUAGUCUGCCUGGGCACACCCCCCUGCUGUUCCAGGGCCACCUCACCCAGAAAGGCUUCCUGACCCCUCAGUUUGGCUCAGGGACCGCCACGGUUCCUCACCCUCCGACCCCUGGGCUUUCCCCAUCCCGGCUCUGACCACACAAUUUCACAUUUACCUGGUUUCCUGUACUUACCAGUGCCCAGCACAGAAGCUGAGGUUUAACAAUCACUGAAUACAUUUUUUAAAAGUGAGUGAAUGAACGAGUAAAUGGGCCGGUCCUAAAAAUGCACACCUCAAAGUUGAUGGCAUUUUUCACCAUACUACACUGCCUCCCUCUUAACCAGUCAGUCUAGCAGCAUUUAGUGUCUCCUCCCGGCAUACUCUGCUGCUCAGUGACCUGACGUGGGUUCCUUGCUCUAAGCCUCAGUUUGCAAUGCUGGUAAAGUGGGGAUAAAAGUUACCCCUGACUCACAGGCCUAUUGUGAGAAUAAGCCCUCGAUAAGUAUUAGCUCCUAGCGUGACUAUGUCUGCUUGCCAUUUAUUUAUGUUUAUGUUAUAUUUAUGUUUAUUUAUGUUUUGAGUGCCCUCUGUGUCGGAUGCCACGCCCAGUGCUGGGAUACACGAGGUGGACCUGGCCCCAGCCUUCAUGAAGCCCAGGGAAGAGCUGACUUUCUAAAGAUUGUGACAAAUGGGUUGAGAAUUAGAAAACAAAAAGGUGCCCUGAGAACAUAUGGUAGGGGGGCUCGGCCGAGCAUCUCUGAGAAGCCCUGCCUGAGGGCUCCUUGGACAGAAGCACUCGGGGCAAAGAGAAGAGGAGGGAGAAAAGUGUCUCCACAUCUACAAUGGCCCAUGGCAUGGUGCCUGUGGAAACACAACCCAGUGGGAAAACAUUCUGUCCACCUCACAGAGUUUGAAAACCUUUGGAGUCCAGUGUCUCCCUUUUCCAGAAACGAAAGCAUAAAGAGACAAGGAAUUUCAUUCAAAUGUCACCUCCCCAGAGGAGCCCUCCUUGACAGCCCUUUUCAAAAUAGUCCCCCAGUGAUUCUAUCUUCCUGCCCUGCUUUAUUCACCUUCCAAGACUCAGCACCACCUUCCAGUAUAUGUAUGUUUCCUUGUCUCUGUUCAUCUCAGUACUGGAAUGUAUGUUCCCAGAGGGCAGGGAUUCUGCCUUGACUGCAGUAUCUCCAAGUCCGGAAUGGCCUGGCACAUAGUAGGUGUUCAAUAAAUAGCUGUUGAAUAAAUGAAUGACGAAACCCCAAGUGUGUGUGUGCGUGCGCGCGCGUGUAUUGUAACUAAAAAUUGAAAUGAGAUCCAAGAUUUAUGUCGAAUUAGAAAGGAAGGGGGCUUUUCUUUCUGUUAUUAAUUGUGUCUUUUGCCAAUCGCCUCCCUUCAUCAAGCCUCAGUUUCCGCGUGUGUAAAAUGCAGCUAGCACCUGCUUUGCAGAAUCAUUGUGAGGCGCCAAUCAAAUGCGGUGCAAAGCGCCCAGAUGGGGCCUGGCGCACAGUAGGUGCCCUGUGAGCAAUUCUGUUUUUCUGAUGGCGCCCUUGGCGGGAGAGGCUCAUGGAGGGGGAUCCCCUGGGCCUGAGCCUUCCUGCAUGACACAGAGGAAGCUGACACUGGAUCUGUCCCGUCACUUGAACUUGCCGGUAAUUUAUUGAUGCUCGAUGCUGGCACCUAGUAGCUUGCCGGGUCAGCCUCAGGGAGCAGGUGUGGGGCCCCCGGGGCCUCCCCCCAGCCUCAGCCAGGUGAAGCAGGAUGGGGAGAACGGAUCUGCACGGCCCAGGAAAGCGGAUAGAUUAGCCCUUACAAGCCCCCUACGAUGUGCCAGACACUGGGGGACUGGGAAAAAAUCCAGGUGUAGUCCCUGGCUGGCCUGAGCUCAUAGAGGAGGAGAGGGACAUAAUUCAUAAUCUGAGCAAUGACGAAACAGUAGUGAGGGCUGCAUGAGAGACCAUGUGCCAGGAACCUUUUACAUAUAACCACAUUUAAGCCUCAUGUGAUGCCUUGUUCACAUUUUAUAGGUCAGAAAAGGUCUUCAAGGAGAGGUCAAAUGAUGUGCUCAAGGUCACACAGCUAGUGAGUGACGCAGGGAGAAUUUGAACCCAGAUCUGACCAGCAUCCAAGGCCCAGGUACAUGUGACUUGCCACCCUGCCCCCACCAGGCUGGCUGGGCUGAGGGGCAUGUAAAAAACAAAACCAAAAAACCCAAAGAAAGAGCUCUGGGAGUUCAAAAGUGAGAAAGGAGGGGAGGCCCGUUCCUCUAGCUGGCUGUCAGAGGAUGGGUGGAAAUACCAAAUAGGGGAUGUGUUUCAGGGCAGGGAAACAUCCAGAGCAAAGGCUUAAAGGUGGAAGGGGAACGGUGUGUUUGGAGUGUGGUUGGCAUGGCCCUCCGGAUGACCAUGCGUGCCCCAUGAGGGGGCAAUGGGCACGCUGGGGCCUUAAAUUCCUCAUGGUUGGGCCAUAGGGAGCCAUGGGAAGCUACUGAGCAAUGAAGCCACUGUUUCGCCCCGACCUGUGUAUCCAAGGAGGCUGUCCAAUUAGGCCAGAGGGGGCCUGGCGUAGAAGCACCUCUGACGUCCCUCCACCCCCUUUCAUCAGCCCUCUGGGCCUGCUGUGCUCACCGGUUCCGGAACAUCCUGCUCACUCUCACCUCCGUAGCUUUGUUCUCCCAGGAUCCUUCCUCCCAGAGUGCCCACUCUACCUGCCCCAGUCCUUCUCACUGUGCAAGUCUCCCUUCCAGGCCCCUUUCCUCCAUGGAGCCCGCCCUGACCACCCCAGCCCUCAGCUGCGUGUCUCAGCCUCAGAGGCAGGGCUGGGCAAGGGCCCAUCCCCCACCAAAAGCCGCAACAGUCGCCACCCACAGCGGCCAGCUAUUGCUUUCACCUGCCUGGCAACACCCUGUUGCCGGUCAUCCGAAGUUCCUUCGAGAAAC
rnacentral:lncRNA from 1 species